rnacentral:tRNA from 1 species
GCCCCGGUAGCUCAGUGGAUAGAGCGUCUGCCUCCGGAGCAGAAGGUCGCAGGUUCGAAUCCUGUCCGGGGCACCC